UACAGAGGUCCCAAGCGUUGUUCGGAUUCACUGGGCGUAAAGGGUGCGUAGGUGGCCAGGUAAGUUUGGUGUGAAAGCUCGGAGCUUAAUUCCGAAAAGUCAUUGAAUACUAUCUGGCUGGAGGGUCGGAGGGGAGACUGGAAUUCUCGGUGUAGCAGUGAAAUGCGUAGAUAUCGAGAGGAACACCAGUGGCGAAGGCGAGUCUCUGGACGACUCCUGACACUGAGGCACGAAAGCUAGGGGAGCAAACAGG
rnacentral:rRNA from 1 species